rnacentral:rRNA from 1 species
CCCUUAGAUGUUCUGGGCCGCACGCGCGCUACACUGACGAAGUCAGCGAGCAUGUCCUACGCCGACAGGUGCGGGGAAUCUUGUCAAACUUCGUCGUGAUGGGGAUUGAUUUUUGAAAUUCUUGAUCAUAAACGAGGAAUUCCUAGUAAGCGCAAGUCAGCAGCUUGCGUUGAUUACGUCCCUGCCCUUUGUACACACCGCCCGUCGCUACUACCGAUUGAAUGGUUUAGUGAGAUCUUCGGAUUGGCGCCACUGCAGCCCAGCAAUGGGCUUGGUGGAUGCCGAAAAGUUGAUCAAACUUGAUCAUUUAGAGGAAGUAAAAGUCGUAACA